GAGAGGGACAAAAAGCACUACGUGGUACAGGAAAUGCAAACACGUUUUCACUCUGAGCCAGCGUGAAUGAUGACUGAAAUAAUUCACUAUCUUGCUCGAGGAGUAAUUACUCAUACAUCAUUAGCUUACACUAAUGAUUCAAUGCAGUUUGAAAUCUGUUUGAAAUAAUGAACCUCAUCAUCACUCGAAUGAGGUAGUAUUGGAUGUCAUGACACAGCUUCUUGGCACAUACUGCCCACCGUAGUUUUUGAACAAGCAAGCACUAUUAGUUUGAAUGCAAUGUACAAUUUUACCACUAGAUGGGAGUAAUUUUUACACAGUGUCCCUUUAACGCCUCGUUUCCACAUACGUAUGUUUUUCGUAUCCGUGCUUCCGUAAAUUUACGGAAGGGGGCGCUAGUGUUUUACGUACGGACAUGAAUUUAUUUACGGUCAGCCAAAAAGAUUGGGGAACGUAUGAUAAUGGCCGUUUUUAGGAGACCGGUACUUUGGAACAUGAGGAUCGACAUAAGAUAAAAACAAAACCAACCAGGCUUGGAAAGAGAUCGGCGAGGAGUUUGCCUGCCAGGUACUUACAUGUUUUGUGAAAAACAUAAAAACUUCCAUACGGUAUCUCCGUAAAACGACGGCGAAAGUUACAUUUUUUGAACGUGUAUUACGGACAUACCGGACAGAAAUUUUACGGAGGGGAGGAGUCUCGGAGGAAAAACGGACAUUACGGAGAAUCACAUAGGAAUGAAUGGACUUUCGGUCGGAGACGGUUGGAUCGCAUACGAGAAUGUACGUAUGUCAGGCCAAACUCCUCAGCGAUCUCUUUCCAAGCCUGUUGGUUUUGUUUUUAUCUCUGUAUAUGUCGAUCCUCAUGUUCCAAAGUACCGGUCUCCGGCCAUUAUCAUACGUUCCCCAAUCUUUUUGGCUGACCGUAAAUAAAUUCAUGUCCGUACGUAAAACACUAGCGCCCCCUUCCGUAAAUUUACGGAAGCACGGAUACGAAAAACAUACGUAUGUGGAAACGAGGCGUUAAAGGGACCCUGUGUAAAAAUUACUCCCAUCUAGUGGUAAAAUUG
rnacentral:lncRNA from 1 species